rnacentral:tRNA from 1 species
GAGGGUAUAACUCAGUGGUAGAGUGCAUGCUUAGCAUGCACAAGGUCCCAGGUUUGAUCCCCAGUACUUCCA